GUAGUUUUGGACACGGUGUACCUGUUCAGGGAAGCUAUGAGUUAAGCCAGCAGCAUUCGAUGACCAAGUAACUAAUUCUCCACUGACAUAUUAAAAUUCCGAAUUUCUCAAGUUAAAACAUAGUUAUAAGAGAGAAUACAAAUAAGCAUACACAGUCUGCUACUUGCAGAAAUUCCUCUCACAACCAUAAGCAGGAUGUGGAGAAAAAAUAAAAUAAAAUAAAGGUGAAGAAGUUCCAUGACAAGAAUUUUUUUUUACUAUUUUUUAUUUUUCCUUUUGGGGGCCAGGUGUCGGAAGAUGUGAUAAAUAAGAUAAUCUACGAAGGAAUGAGAGGAAAGCCUAAAGAAGCAGAAACCAAGAGUGCAACAUGUAAAAGAGUAGACCCACCACAAUAGAUGCAUUAAUGCAAGACAAAUAAAAAUGCAACAACUUCCAAGUCACAAGGGUGGAAGAUAAUAAUAUAUCUUUUAGUUUUUCCAUGCAAUAAAAAAUAAAUAAGAUUCAUUCAAUCAGAAAUUCAAAGCUCAACCCAAUUUAAUUCAGGCUUAUGGGUUAUUAACUUGCCAAGUAAAAAGAGGCAAGGUAGUUUUCAAGCCCUAUAACAAGCCCCUAAAGAGUAAAAAUUACAGAUUGUGUAAUCAGUACAAGGAUUACAUUCACCCAUUGAUUAUGCCAAGUCAUGAAAAACCAACCAUGCAGCAUCCAGGAAAGGAAAAGGUCAACUCAACUCAACUCAACUCA
rnacentral:misc_RNA from 1 species